rnacentral:ncRNA from 2 species
UAAUAUUUUAAUGAUAUAGGUUGCAAAGUCUGCGCUUUGCACGAAGAGGGAAACAGGAAAAGCCUGUGCGGUCCCGCCGCCGUAAGACUCUUAAGAAUUCCUACGCCACUGGAGAUGAUCUGGGAAGGUGAAUUCUUUUACAUAGUCAAGCCGGAAGACCUGCCUAUAUUGUUUUAGACUC